CAGUAGCAUCUUGGCCUGUUAUUUAGCCCUCCCUGCUCUCGGAAACGGGCAACGCUUCCCUCUCUCCCGUUUGCGCAGGGCAAGGCAGCGAGACCAGGGGCUGAUCCCGGGGAGGAGCAGAGACACCGAGAUUCCCCUGUGACCAUGGUACCAAUGCUGGGCUCGGCGCUUGUGCUGGUUUUUGUUUCAGGCGCCCCGGGCAGAGCCGAGAUCCGGCAGCCGCGCUCCGCAGAAGCUUUGGAGGGAGCUGAACUGAACCUCACCUGCUCUCACCCCUCAGCCAGCACUGAUAAUAUACUCUGGUACCGGCAGUUUCCGAACCGAGGACCCGAAUUUAUAGUGACUGGAUUCAGUGGAACCGCUCACAGCCCCAACCCAGAGGGAACCUUGCACAUCUCCAGGGGUAAAGAAAACAGCAUCUUCUCCCUGCGCAGGGUGCGGCUCGCAGACUCAGCGGUGUAUUACUGUGCUCGGAGAGACACAGUGGGACAGCCAGGGGAGGCUCCCGUACAAUAAAUCCCCUACUCCGAGGCUGGUAGCUAGUGUGUGUUCGUGGGGAGGGAGACAAGUCGCGGGGCCGGGGAGAGGAGAAGGUAAGAAGCCAGAAAGGAGAAAGAGAACAUUUAA